GUCGGGGCGGUGGCCGCGCACGUCGCUACGCACGAUGUGCCGACCGCCGCCGGCUCCGAUAUCGGCGUGCCGAACCGGACACGUUUGCUGUGAACGCCGGAUGGACCCGGCUAAACGCGACGCCGCCUAACCGAGCCCGGAGCCGCUAGGCGAGAAAGAUUCAACGAAGUCUUCGGCGGUUGCGGAACAAAAUCUCCCGGCGGAAAACCCGUCCCGCGGACGCGACGAUUGUUGACCGACUGCACGGAGCGUAUAUUUUACAGCGCCGGCCGCCACUAAAUUUUUCACGCCGCUAAAUGCCGCGGUUCUCGAAAUUGUAACAUCUAAAUACGAAUAGCUCUAAAGUUAACGGUUCAUAUUGUUACGAUACGCUAACAGCAUUAUUUCUCACGUCUCUACACGAUCGCAGCUGUGUUGACCGAGUCGGGACGGCAAAAAUAACGAAACCGUACGUUUUUCCCGUUUCCUCCGUCUCGCUCCCGUCAACAACAUUAUUGAAAUGGGCGAAUCGAGGAGAGGGGGGGGGGAAAUGACCUCCUCCUCCUCCCCGGCGACGGUCUUCCGUAGUCGUUUUUUCGACCGGCACGAGUGGGUUUCCGGUAAAACGUUUUUGUUCGGCGAAAACGAAACCGAUACGCACAUACGUUCCGCGAAAUAAAAAGCGCGCGUCAUACUCAGAAACGAAUGCGUUCCGCGAUACGCUCAGAAUCUAAAUGGGCGGAAAAAAAAAAUAGUAAAAUAACCGUAGCUUGCGAAUUAUUAUCCGCGAUAUGACGUGUCGCGUAAUAAUUCUCGUAUAAUACGUAAAAUUUGCCUAUACGCAUUCCGCGUUCGUGACCGAUUGGCGGUUGAAAACGUCGGCAAUAUAAAUCGGUAUUUUUCACUUUCUUUUUGAGGGAAGGGUUGGGUAGACGUUCGUUGAUACAACACUCGCAAUAUAAUAUUAAACGUACGAAAAAUAUUUGUCAGAUUUAAUUUUUAUUUCAACGAACUGACGUAUUACUUUUCCCCUGGAACCCACGUAUAAAAAACCGCCACCGAUGUCCACUGUAAAUAUAUAAUACGUCCGGCACGACACGGAACGCAUACGGCGAUAUCCUACCGGGAUCGUAAUUUUGAUUAACGCGCGUGGGAGGUGGUGGCCACCCACGUCCGUUGGGCUAAUCGCGCGCGCGAAAAACGCGACGGGCGUAGCGGACGUUUACGCGAACGCAGUCAGCUGCCGAGGCUGCGCGAAUCGUCAACGAAAAAUGGACACAACGAUAACGACCGCGGCGACGUUGUGAAGAACGACGACGACGACGUGGAGGAAGAGGAGGUGGCGGUGGAGGUGGAGGUGGAGGAUAAUGAUGAUGAUGAGUUCGGAACACCGCUUAAACACCGUACACAAAUCACAUUAUAAUAAACGUAUUUUCGUAGUAGUUUUAACCUCUCUCCCCCCCCCCACGAGUGAAUGCAACCCGUGCGUGCUAUUUUUACACGCAACCACAACAACAACAACAACAAACGGUUACAACGUAAAUAAAAAUAUCGUUAAGAAAAUUGUUUGUUUUUUUUUUCCCCUAUUAUGUUUCACACGCAGCCCGUUCCCCUCUCCUCCCCUCGCCGAAACCGAGAAUUCACCUUCGUCCCGAACGGCCGUGGAAUCGGCAACGAGGUAUCCGAAAAGAAGCGGGGAGGAGAGUCGGGUUACCGGCUCUGUAAAAUCAUAUCGCCGUUAAAUAUCUUCGCGGGAACGGCGCGUCCUGUGCGUGGCCGAAAACCCGGCGCGCUGUUCGGCGUCGCCGGCCACGGACGACGGUGCGCUGCCGGGGGGUCGGGUAAUCCAAGGCCAACCGGUAAACGACGUCGUCGUCGUCGUAGCCGCCGCCGUCCAGGUGAAAGAACUAGUAACCUUGAAAGCGCGUGCGUCGCACAUACCCAGCUACGAUCGCGUUCUCGAAAAACCCGAGUGUUGAUCGUAAGCGCACGGACGUCUCGAGGUGCCGCGCCGAGAUCGUACGCGAUUGUUGUUGUUGUUAUUAUUAUUAUUAUUUUUACUACGACGACCCGCGAACGGUCGUCGUAGCAACGCGGAUAAUAAUAAUAAUAAUAUCGUGUCGACAUUUAAUGCCGCGGCGGCCGGUAAACUAUACUGUAUAGGCGGAACGGUGACACCGGGUUUCGUCGGCGCGACGGGUAAACACCCCUCGCCGCCCGCCGGCGCGACCGCGUUGUUAUUGUUAUUACCAUAAUAGUGCCGACCGUAACCGAACGGAUCGGUUACCGACAACGACGACGACGACGACGAUCGAUAACACAAACAUCGGACAGCCGUUGUUGUUGUUGUUGUUGUUGUUGUUAUAAUUAUCGGGCACUGGUGGCCGGCCGCCCGUUCGAAUAUAAUAUGCACAGGCAAUAACGUUACAACAGGCGCGAAAAACGCGAGACCUCACGGGCGGUCGAUUCUAAGGAUUUUCGUCGGGUUUUUUCGACACUUUUAAAGGCGUAUCGGGGAUGCGCCUUUGGGGAGGGGAGAUUAAAACUUUCAACAACCCCGCCGACCGUUGGCGCGCUCAAAUUUCACGGGAAAUACCGGGUUUACCGCACACACGCAGACUUGUCAAAGUGACGGGGUUAAAACGUUAGUUAGAUAUUAACUUCUAAAACUUCUUCGACCGCCACUCCCCUCCCCGCGGUCAGUUUGUGCGUUAGCGAAAAUCUCGAUUCGUCUUUCGGUGAAACUUUCUUCAGUCUAUUAUCCGAAGAUUAAAAGGAUACAAUUUUAUCCCUGAAGGAAGUGGAGGGCAAGGACACGGUUAACGGGUGUUAAUGACGGAAAAAUCGAUUUGCGAAUAUUAUUGACCUCGAAAUGUUAUGGAAUCGGUAGAAGUUUAGUUAAAAAAGAAAAUAAAAAACACGUUUUUUCACCCACGACUAACACGGCGUAAAUAAAUAUUAGGCGAAAUACGGAAUUUAAAAAAAAUUAUUUCGUUAUUUUCGAACGGGGGGAGGGGGGUGGGGGUUGGCGUUUUAUACACAAUGGAGAUUGGUGCAGCUCGAUGGUGACGGGGGUUACCGGCGUUCGUUUACUGCGAAAUUUACGCGUUUGUGAACAAUACGAGUACAUAAGAGUUAAACAAGGUAUACGCGAAAAAUCCACGCGGUUUCGUAUUCAAAUAGCGCGCAAUCGAUUUAUUAUUAUACUGCGUUCUACCAGCUACUACUAUAAAUUAAUUUACUACGGGGGGAGGGGAGGGGGGGGGGGAAAUAGCCAUUAAUACGUGUAUCCGGUGUGUGCAAACGCGUUGUAUACAACCGAGAUAAAAGUAAACGUUCGGAACGUAUUAUUAUCGUUAUAAUUAUGAUUGGUCGGACGACGGAACACGCGCGCGCCGAUUCACCAGAGCACCGUCGACCACCGUUUGUUUACCACUGUAAAUAAAUUGUAAAAAUUGUGAUCCGUAAUAAAAAAAAAAAAAAAAAAAAUUGUAUAUACUAUGUACAAAAAUAUUAAAAUAUAUUAUAUUUGAAUAUUUAUUAACCACUAUAAAAAUAAAGUUAAAACGUAAUAUUUCUUUAGAAGGAGAGAAAUAAGGUUAAAUAAUGGCUUUCUAUGUAUAGAUACACCGGCGGGCGUGUGUAAAACGACAUCGUCGUAUUUAAAUAACAAUAGUCUUCAAUUGAAAAACUAUAGGUACACGUGUAUAUUGAAAAUGAAAAGAAAUAGUACCUAUUCCUUCUUUUUAUUUUUUUACCGUCGUACAACCGGUAAAAACCGCUCGAACUUGUAGUGUAUGACGUUAGUAGAGAAUAUUAAAAGUUUUUAUAAUUCCGUCGGACAAACAUACAUGUCGUUCAAGUAGAGGAGCAACAAAUUAUUUUUUUGGCAAAAAUUGUAAUAAAACAUCAAAAGUUUAAAUCGUUUUGUUCUAUAGAUUGAAAAAAAAUUAAUAAAUACAAAAAAUAGACUUAUUAUUAUCUACAAAAUAGAAACUACGUAAAAAAAGUUUUGUACAUUAUACCACGACUAUACAAAGCGACUAAACUGUUUUUUUUUAUUUAUGAAUACUAAUUAAUUAUGUGAAAAUUUCAGUUCUCUACAAUAUGAUUCUUCGUCGAUUUACAACGAAUAAUCAAAAUCAAAAAUAACAAAACCAUUGCCGUAAACUUAUAAUACCGUUUUUUUUUUAUCCCCCGUUAUUAUUAAAACUGGUUGAAAAAUCAAAACGAAGCUUUCUUAAAUCAAUUAGAUCAGAAAUGCAACGGAAAAAACAGUAAUCUUAUUAUUAUUUAUUGGAUCGAGAUAAGAAAAGUUGUUUAGACGCACACAAAAGGAAGAAAAAACAUCAUACUAGUAGAACCACUCGGAAUCACUCGGAAUAGUUACAUACUCGGUAGUCUGAAAAAAAUACUAAUAUUUCGUGUGGCGAUUAUAAUAUGCCGAAAAUGUGUAUUACGCGCAAUAUUCGUGUGAAUAAUUGAAAAAAAAAAAAAGUAAUUAUUUUUGAUUUAAGAAAUAUCGACUAUAUUUGUACGGUCCGAGCACGUCAUAAUAUUAAAAUGUGCGCAGAACGAACGGUGGCCUUUUUAUUAUUAAAUAAAAAUUAUUAUUAUUAUUCGUAUCGUAUUUAAUCGAGAGUACAAAUUUAGACGAACAAAACGAUAUGCAUAUUUAUUUCGUGCGCAAUAGAACCGAAGCAUAAAAAUUAAACGAAUCAAGGGACAAGCGGUUUUUUCGUUUUCAGACCGUUAUCAUUUGUCGGAUUCAAAUCGUCUUCGAACUACGCGAUCAGGUCAGAUUUAGUGUAUUUGACAUUUUUAUGCGUCUUUGGUACCGGGGGAGAAGUCGAUUUUGUACUUUUCACGUUUAAAUUGCAUACGCUCGUUAAUGAUGCGAUACAAAUCAAAUGCGGAUUAUCCGAAGACACGGAUAUCAGACACGCAGACAAUUCUGAAUUUAGAUUUGAAAUCAGAAUUUACAAUUUAAAAAAAAAAUCUACUAUUUUAUAUAUUUUUUGUAAUAAAUCUCUCGCUACGUGAGUAAUCUAAAAAGUGUAUUUCAUUUUUUUCCCAUUGUGAUAAAUUAAAUAAUAGUGGGGUGGGAAAACAGAGUAGAGAAAUAAUUGAAUAGAAAACCCCGCUAUCCACUUGGAUCAUUAAUGUCCUCCCAUGAUAGUAGAAAAUAAAAAAAUGUACACAAAGUGUGACAACAUGUUUCGUACGUAUUCUAGACGGAAAUACCUUCGGCAAUAGUACUUUGAUGAGGGAGAAUAAUAAAUGUUUUUUAUUGUCUUGCGCGGAGUUUCUUCGGUAACGGUGUUGACGUAGAUGAACAAUGGUGUAUUCACGAUUUUUUAUGUUAAUGAGAAUACGGAAAAUUAACACUUGAUAUCGUUGAACAACUGUCUUGAUGUUUCUGACGCACCAGGUGAGUGACGAGAAGAAGAGAGCUUUGUUCAUUUCAUUAUCCAAGGGUAAAAUCACUCCCGUUGCCGGUAAAAUGGUACGCUAUUAUUGGUGGAGCCGACUGGAGAGCGGGAAACAAUCGACAACGGCUAUCCCGGAAUAUAUAAUAGAAUUUUAAUAAAAAAAAAAACGUUUUAUUGCGUGACGGAAACGACUGUAGUUGACGAAGAGAACGGCGCGCUAGAAGUUUGAAGCUCCGUAUCAAGACGAUAAAAACUAUACUCGAUUCCCAUACGAGAAACGAGCCGGCACGAUUCUGGCGUACGGUACCGUCCACCUCGUACAUAAUGGCCCUUCUUCAAAAGCCGCUGCCACUGGCCGAUACGGAGCUUACGGAACUUCUAGUGUCCCGUUCUGUUCGUUCGCCACUGUCUUUUCCGUCAAUAUAUUCUAUUAUAUAUCCCAGGAGCCGUUGUAGGACCCGCUUGCCCGUCGGCUCCGAUAAUACCAUACCUUAAUUUUUUUUUUUUUCGGAAUCUCCGAAUGGAGUAAGAGUAGGUAGCUUUUUUUUUCUUUUUUUUUUUUUUGACACAGAGUGCGAUGAUUAAAUCAUCAAAUAAAUCAUGUCUAUACGCAAUAUUAUUCCUUUUAUUUACGGUGCUCCCAAAACGCCGACCACAUUUUUGAACACAGUCGGCACGAGCAAUAACAACAGUACCGAGACAAGCCUUUAGCAAGUGAACUAACUCUAAUAUUUCAAAAAACGACGUUGGUUAGGAUAGGUCGUAGUACAGUUCGGCGAGUAUAAGUAUAAUAGACAUUGCAUUUUUGCCGUUUGUCAAUUAUACGCUAGCCAAAAUCUCGGCACGUUUUUUGUCAAGACCCAUUGCGCCUUUAUUAUUUUUUCAAUAUUUAUUAUAAACAUCACAAGUACCUUCCCGUUUGAUAUACGUUUACCGGUGUACCAGUGGCGUAAAUACCGGGUGGACAAGUUGGGCAAAUGCCACGGGCCCAUGACAUAGAAUAGGGAAGACUUUUCUUGAAUUUUUUUUUUUUUUAUACAUAUAUACAUAUUUUCUCAAUUUUUUUUUUUGUAUUGUUUGUUUUUUUUCUCAAGUUUUUUGUUUUUUUUUUCACGUUUUAUGUAUUUUUU
rnacentral:lncRNA from 1 species